GUAAUUCAGCCUCAAACGGACAAAAGGACUGAAACGCCUUGUGUCGGUGGUUCGAUUCCGCCCCGGGCCACCA
rnacentral:tRNA from 1 species